AGAGUUUGAUCCUGGCUCAGGAUGAACGCUAGCUACAGGCUUAACACAUGCAAGUCGAGGGGAAACGACAUCGAAAGCUUGCUUUUGAUGGGCGUCGACCGGCGCACGGGUGAGUAACGCGUAUCCAACCUGCCCACCACUUGGGGAUAACCUUGCGAAAGUAAGACUAAUACCCAAUGACGUCUCUAGAAGACAUCUGAAGGAGAUUAAAGAUUUAUCGGUGAUGGAUGGGGAUGCGUCUGAUUAGCUUGUUGGCGGGGUAACGGCCCACCAAGGCGACGAUCAGUAGGGGUUCUGAGAGGAACGGUCCCCCANAUUGGAACUGAGACACGGUCCAAACUCCGUACGGGAGCA
rnacentral:rRNA from 1 species